rnacentral:rRNA from 1 species
CCUACGGGAGGCAGCAGUGAGGAAUAUUGGUCAAUGGACGAGAGUCUGAACCAGCCAAGUAGCGUGAAGGAUGACUGCCCUAUGGGUUGUAAACUUCUUUUAUAAAGGAAUAAAACGAGGCACGUGUGCCUUUUUGCAUGUACUUUAUGAAGAAGGAUCGGCUAACUCCGUGCCAGCAGCCGCGGUAAUACGGAGGAUCCGAGCGUUUUCCGGAUUUCUUGGGUUUAAAGGGAGCGUAGAUGGGUUGUUAAGUCAGUUGUGAAAGUUUGCGGCUCAACCGUAAAAUUGCAAUUGAUACUGGCAGUCUUGAGUACAGGUGAGGUAGGCGGAAUUCGUGGUGUAGCGGUGAAAUGCUUAGAUAUCACGAAGAACCCCGAUUGCGAAGGCAGCUUACUAAACUGUGACUGACAUUGAUGCGCGAAAGUGUGGGUAUCAAACAGGAUUAGAUACCCCGGUAGUC